rnacentral:tRNA from 1 species
GGGCCGUUAGCUCAGUUGGUAGAGCAUCUGACUUUUAAUCAGAGGGUCGCAGGUUCGAUCCCUGCACGGCCCACCA